rnacentral:rRNA from 1 species
CUACGGGGCGCAGCAGUUAGGAAUAAUCUACAAUGCGCGAAAGCGUGAUAGUUUGAGCCAGAGUGCGUUUCUAUUGAAACGCUUUUGCUAAAUAUAAAAAGUUUGGCGAAUAAGGACUGGGUAAGACUAGUGCCAGCCGCCGCGGUAAUACUAGCGGUUCAAGUCGCAGCCAUUUUUAUUGGGUCUAAAACAUCCGUAGCUUGCUUAAUAAGUUUCUUGUGAAAUCUUAUAUCUCAAGUAUGAGGCGUGCAGGAAGUACUGUUAAGCUAGAGACUGGAAGACGUAAGAAGUACGUUCGAAGUAGCGGUAAAAUGUUUUAAUCUCGGACGGACUACCAACAGCGAAGGCAUCUUACGAGGACAGUUCUGACAGUAAGGGAUGAAGGCUAGGGGCGCAAAACGGAUUAGAUACCCCAGUAGUC